UGAGAGUAAAAAAGGGCAUAAUGUCAAAGAUAAGCAAAGUUCAUCUGGGAAGAGUUUAUUGUCAUAAAAAAUUGGUAAUAAUUUUGUCAGUCUGGAAAAUUGAGAAAUAUCUUGAAUUGAGAAAAUUUAAGUGCAUAUUGGGAGAAGAUAAAUAGUACUGUAGUGUGAUUUAAGAUUAUCAGUAAUAAAAUGUCAAUUUCAAUCUAAAAGAGAUAGAAAAUUAGUUAUGUUUAUGUUUUAUGUUCUGGGAAGCAAAGAGUGAUUUCAGUUUCUUUCUGGUUUAUGUCCCUACAUACCUUUCAAGAAUGCUUGAAGAUUUAUGCAUGUCUGCAGAAGCUGACAAGACCCACAAGAAAAACUAGGAGUUGGGUUUGGCCCUGGGAAUAUAAAGAGGUCUGAAGCGCAGCAUUGGUUGUUGCAGCAGCAAAAAGGAUGCUACUGGAUUUCCAUACCCAUCAGGAUGGAUGACCCAGCAGUCCAGACCCCUGUCUCCAGGCCCAGGCUCUAACAAGGGUUUGUCCUGAGCAGUGAGAAAAUACACCACCUGACUGGCAGACACCCUCGCCCAGAGCUUUUUUGUUCCCUCUGCACCCAGAGGGGCUGUGGCGUUCCUGGGAAGAAGCAGUGCACCACCUGGUUUGGGGUCUCCUAGGUGUAAGGUUGGAGGCACUGGAGGGAGAAGGGCAAGGACAAUGCAGGCGGAGCAGAGACAGCACCAAGUAGCUCUGUGCCAUAUGGGGAAGGAACGAACAGCUCUUCCUGGAUUCCAGUCCCAUGACGUGCCGACAAACCCCGGAUGCAGACCCCCUCCAUCCGGAAGGAGGAGACCUCUGGCUGUCCAUCACCCGACCCUGAGCCAAUAAAAAAUUCCCCACAUACCCCUGGCACGGCCCACCUCCCCCUCCCCUCCCUGUGCUUAUAAAAACUCCCAGC